AGUUUGUUAGUGUCAUAUCACAUUAAGUUUUGAAUUUAAAGAUGUAAAUUUUUUACACAUUCAU
rnacentral:tRNA from 1 species